GACGAACGCUGGCGGCGUGCUUAACACAUGCAAGUCGAACGGGCCCGCCCCUGUUUUUGGGGGUGGGUUGAGUGGCGAACGGGUGAGUAUCACGUGAGUAACCUGCCCCCUGCUCCUGGAUAACUGCUUGAAAGGGCGGCUAAUACGGGGUGUGCCGGCUGGUCCGCAUGGGCCUGGUCGGGAUAGUUUCAUCUUCGGGUGUUUCGGUGGGGGAUGGGCUCGCGGCCUAUCAGCUUGUUGGUGGGGUGAUGGGCCACCAAGGCGGUGACGGGUAGCCGGCCUGAGAGGGUGGGCGGCCACACUGGGACUGAGACACGGCCCAGACUCCUGCGGGAGGCAGCAGGGGGGGGUAUUGCACAAUGGGCGGAAGCCUGAUGCAGCGACGUCGCGUGAGGGAUGGAGGCCUUCGGGUUGUGAACCUCUUUCUCCGGUGGUGAAGGCCCUGUCCGUUGCGGCGGGGUUGACGGUAGCCGGGUAUGAAGCGCCGGCUAACUACGUG
rnacentral:rRNA from 1 species